UACGGGGGGAGCGAACGUUGUUCGGAAUCACUGGGCGUAAAGGGCGUGUAGGCGGCUGAAUAAGUGGGAUGUUAAAUCCCCCGGCUCAACCGGGGACCUGCAUCUCAUACUGUUCAGCUCGAGCACAUCAGAGGAGACUGGAAUUCCCGGUGUAGCGGUGGAAUGCGUAGAGAUCGGGAAGAACACCAGUGGCGAAGGCGGUCUGCUGGGCCGUUGCUGACGCUGAGGCGCGACAGCGUGGGGAGCAAACAGG
rnacentral:rRNA from 1 species